AGAUGAACCAAAAAAGAAGUAUGACAAGCUGUCCAAGAAAGGUGUGCAGAUGACAUGUUCAACAUGUCACCAACUAGGCCAUAACAAAAAGUCUUGUCCAGUAACAAAGGGUGGAAGUGGUAGAGGAAGUGGUCAAUCAAGCUCUGCACAGAAAAGGCCUAUAGGAAGUGGUGAAUAAAGCUCUGCACAGAAAAGGCCUACAGGAAGUGGUGAAUCAGUUGGGUUGAAAAGGGGUAGAGGAAGUGGUCAAUCAAGUUCUGCACAGAAAAGGCCUAAAAAUGCAGGCCUUGGAUGCUACAUAAACCCAACAACUGGAAGAACUGUCAUUAAUCCUGGUAGUUCAAGUGAGAGAGUUGUGAGGCACGAGACUAUGAGGGACACCAGUGCAGUCAACAUU